AGGAUUGCUGUGGGGAUCAGCUGGCUCUCAAAAAGCAGCGCUCACUGUGAUGUGCAGUUUGGCUUAGGAACUGUCCAGAGGGCAGUUAGGCAUUCUUGCUGCAGAAGGGGCAGAAGGGGCAACACCCUGGUGUGCUGAGAACCCCUCUCCCUCAGGCCAUUGGGGGCCAGGCCUCCCGCAGCCUCAUGGACUGCUUUGCCGAUAUCCUGUUCGCCCUGAACAAGCACUGCUUCAGCCUCCUGAGCAUGUGGAUCAAGGAGGCCCUGCAGCCACCUGGUUUCCCCUCUGCCCGCCUCAGCCCUGAACAGAAGGAUACCUUCAGCCAGCAGAUCCUUCGCGAGCGAGUGAACAAGAGGCGGGUGAAGGAGAUGGUGAAGGAGUUCACACUGCUGUGCCGGGGUCUCCAUGGCACAGA
rnacentral:sRNA from 1 species